UACUGCUGUGGGGGUAGCACCAGA
rnacentral:piRNA from 1 species